UCCGAAAACAAAGAACCCUCAAAACAUAAAUAUAAAAUUCUCCAAAAGUGUUAUAAGUUCUAAUCUCUAAUGGGUGUAUUUUCUAAUAUUGUAAAAAAACCUAUUAAUAGUCUAAAUUUGUAGGUCAAAUAAUAAAAUAAUCUAGACUAAUCAGAGUUUGAUUGAAACAAAUAAACAGAGUGUUGUAGGCCAAUUUUGGCCCGUUUACAUCCAAACCCGAGUGGCCCAAUUACUAAACCUAACCCACCUAAGUUAAACCCACUAACCCAUCAUAACACAAACCCAAACCCAAGCCCAAUUUCAAACCCUAGCCCAAUACCUAAAAUAAAAAAAGAAAAACCCUAAAAAAAUCAGCUAGCCGCCGCCCCUAUGGCCAACUGCCCUCUACCACCACCACUGUGGCCACCAUCCCUUUGCACCUGCAAAAAAUAAAGAUAGAAGUGACAACAAUAAUAAAAUUUCUUGUAAAAUGGCUAUAUAAAAGCCUAGAAAUCGGUUUGUAAAAAAAAAAGAUUUUUUUUUGUGGUAAGAAUACAAACAUUCUAUUUCAAAAGCAAAAACGAAAAACAGCAACUCUAGCAAUAUUAUAGCACGAGAAUAGCACCAAGUCAAGCAACCAAAACAUCGAUAUCAUAAUCAAAGGCCUAAGGUGAUUUUAGUUUUUAUUUUAGUUUUAUUUUUGAAUCUAUUAACUUGCAUAAACUUAUAUAUAUUAUAAAUACAAAAAAAAUUAUAUAUUAAAAAUACAAAAAAAUAAUAAAUACCUUUUUGAAAUUUCUGGCCACCGUGCGCGGUGGCCGGCGACGGUGGCCAGUGGUGGUUGGCGAAGGCGGCCGACGGCAGUCCGGCGACCGGACGGUGACCGGCCUUGUGGCCAGAAAUCACCCACCCUCUCCCUCUCUCUCUCCCUCUCUUUUUUC
rnacentral:lncRNA from 1 species